UACAGAGGUCUCAAGCGUUGUUCGGAUUCAUUGGGCGUAAAGGGUGCGUAGGCGGCGUGGUAAGUCGGAUGUGAAAUCUCGGAGCUUAACUCCGAAACUGCAUUCGAUACUGCCGUGCUUGAGGACUGGAGAGGAGACUGGAAUUUACGGUGUAGCGGUGAAAUGCGUAGAUAUCGUAAGGAAGACCAGUGGCGAAGGCGGGUCUCUGGGCCGAUACUGACGCUGAGGAGCGAAAGCGUGGGGAGCGAACAGG
rnacentral:rRNA from 1 species